rnacentral:misc_RNA from 1 species
AACGCACAUUGCGCCCCUUGGUAUUCCAUGGGGCAUGCCUGUUCGAGCGUCAUUUGUACCUUCAAGCCUUGCUUGGUGUUGGGUGUUUGUCUCGCCUCUGCGCGCAGACUCGCCUCAAAACAAUUGGCAGCCGGCGUAUUGAUUUCGGAGCGCAGUACAUCUCGCGCUUUGCACUCAUAACGACGACGUCCAAAAAGUACAUUUUUACACUCUUGACCUCGGAUCAGGUAGGGAUACCCGCUGAACUUAA